rnacentral:tRNA from 1 species
CGCGGGGUGGAGCAGUUCGGUAGCUCGUCGGGCUCAUAACCCGAAGGUCGCAGGUUCAAAUCCUGUCCCCGCUA